GACAGAGGGUGCAAACGUUGUUCGGAAUUACUGGGCGUAAAGCGCGUGUAGGCGGCUAAGUAAGUCGGGCGUGAAAUCCCACGGCUCAACCGUGGAAGUGCACUCGAAACUGCGUAGCUAGAGUCCUGGAGAGGAAGGUGGAAUGCUUGGUGUAGAGGUGAAAUUCGUAGAUAUCAAGCGGAACACCGGUGGCGAAGGCGGCCUUCUGGACAGUGACUGACGCUGAGACGCGAAAGCGUGGGGAGCAAACAGG
rnacentral:rRNA from 2 species